rnacentral:rRNA from 1 species
CGGGGGGGGCAAGCGUUGUUCGGAACUACUGGGCGUAAAGGGCUCGUAGGCGGCCAACUAAGUCAGACGUGAAAUCCCCAGGCUCAACCUGGGAACUGCGUCUGAUACUGGUUGGCUUGAAUUCGGGAGAGGGAUGCAGAAUUCCAGGUGUAGCGGUGAAAUGCGUAGAUAUCUGGAGGAAUACCGGUGGCGAAGGCGGCAUCCUGGACCGACAUUGACGCUGAGGAGCGAAAGCUAGGGGAGCAAACGGGAUCAGAUACCCCGGUAGUCCUAGCCCUAAACGAUGAAUGCUUGGUGUGACGGGUAUCGAUCCCUGUCGUGCCGAAGCUAACGCAUUAAGCAUUCCGCCUGGGGAGUACGGUCGCAAGGCUG